rfam:Shimia sp. SK013 shim_contig000026, whole genome shotgun sequence.
UUUCCGUCACAACGGCUUCCUGACGUGACGGUUUUAAUCCAAUGGAGCA